GUGCUCAUUUAGGCAGCAUUACUACCAAAAGUGGAAUGAUGCAGACAAAAUUAAUAUGGGCCCUGCCCAAGGAUGACACACAAAUUCAUGAAGUUUUUUGUUUGUGU